UGGAGACCGCUUGGAGCAACUGAUAGAGUCAUUUGGAGGAUUUGAUUUGGUAAUUGGUGGAAGCCCGUGCAAUAACCUUGCAGGCAGUAACAGAGUGAGCAGGGAUGGGCUUGAAGGCAAAGAGUCUUCCCUGUUUUAUGACUAUGUUCGGAUAUUGGACUUGGUCAAGUCCAUAAUGUCCAGACAUAGACAUUAGUAAUUUUAUGACUAUGUACGGAUAUUGGACUUGGUCAAGUCCAUAAUGUCCAGACAUAGCCAUUAGUGGACAAGUAGUAGGCAAGUUCUGUACUUUGUUUUUCCUUCAUUUUCGCAGAUUACUUUACUUAAGCCCCCUUACUAAUAUUAAAAUCGAACAUUGAGAAGGGUUGGUCUUUGAUAAUGCAAUUCUUGUGUUAACUUUUUAAGUGGUUUGCCACAUUUGAAGUUAAUUCUUCUUGUUCAUGAUCUAAGUUGUCUAACUUAGUCAAAACUAUGAGUUUUUUUUUUUUUUGAAUUAUGUGUCUGUUUAAUUUUUAUUUACG
rnacentral:lncRNA from 1 species